rnacentral:pre_miRNA from 1 species
AACUUUCUGAAUCCGUGCAGAAAUUCCGUCAGACGCCAACCCAUUGGGGCUCAUCGGACUUUCAAGAUAAGUAAAGUU